rnacentral:rRNA from 1 species
UACAGAGGUCUCAAGCGUUGUUCGGAUUCAUUGGGCGUAAAGGGUGCGUAGGCGGCGCGGUAAGUCGGGUGUGAAAUUUCGAGGCUUAACUUCGAAACUGCAUUCGAUACUGCCGUGCUUGAGGACUGGAGAGGAGACUGGAAUUUACGGUGUAGCGGUGAAAUGCGUAGAUAUCGUAAGGAAGACCAGUGGCGAAGGCGGGUCUCUGGACAGUUCCUGACGCUGAGGGACGAAGGCCAGGGGAGCAAACGGG